rnacentral:rRNA from 1 species
AAAGAAGGGACCUAGCGUACUUCGGAAUUACUGAGCCGUAAAGCGCGCGUAGGCCGAUGAGUUAGUUAAUUGUGAAAUCCCAAAGCUUAACUUUGGAACUGCAAUUAAAACUGCUCGACUAGAGUUUGAUAGAGGAAAGCGGAAUACAUAGUGUAGAGGUGAAAUUCGUACAUAUUAUGUAGAACACCAGUUGCGAAGGCGGCUUUCUGGAUCAACACUGAUGCUGAGGCGCGAAAGUAUGGGUAGCAAAGAGGAUUAGAUACCCUCGUAGUCCAUACCAUAAACGAUGAUUGCUAGAUGUUGGAAAUUUAUUUUCAGUAUCGCAGCUAACGCAUUAAGCAAUCCGCCUGGGGAGUACGACCGCAAGGUUAAAACUCAAAUGAAUUGACGGGGACCCGCACAAGCGGUGGAGCAUGUGGUUUAAUUCGAAGAUACGCGCAGAACCUUACCAACCCUUGACAUGUCUGUCGCGAGUUUAGGAAACUAGACUUUUCGGUUCGGCCGGACAGAACACAGGUGCUGCAUGGCUGUCGUCAGCUCGUGUCGUGAGAUGUUGGGUUAAGUCCCGCAACGAGCGCAACCCCUACUUUUAGUUGCCAUCAGGUAAUGCUGGGCACUCUGAAAGAACUGCCAGUGAUAAGCUGGAGGAAGGUGGGGAUGACGUCAAGUCCUCAUGGUCCUUACGGGUUGGGCUACACACGUGCUACAAUGGUAGUGACAAUGAGAUGCAAGGUGGCGUCGCUAAGCUAAACUCAAAAAUCUACCUCAGUUCGGAUUGCACUCUGCAACUCGAGUGCAUGAAGCUGGAAUCGAUAGUAAUCGUAGAUCAUCGUGCU